AUGUCCUACAACUUCCUUCAACGGAAACCCACCGAGUACCGGGCCAAGGCGGUCGUCACCGCCUCUCAACAUCAACCCGCAGUCGCGGUCCGAGCCCCCCGAACCGUGCAGCCGCACAAUCUCGCCUCUCAACACCGAGGCCGCGGCGGCGCCAGGCCACGGGCUCUCCCCGCCCCCCAGCGCCGCCGUCUCCGCCUUGACACAUGGCUCUCCGCCCCGGGUGCUCCCCAGCCGCCCGCGACCCCCGGCCUCCCGCACCCCUCGGUGCAGCGGCUGCGGGCGCCGAGGCCGACAGCCCGCGCCGGGAGGGCGUUCCGCCGCCAGGCGCACGCCCGCGGGAGCCCAGCACCGCCCAAGCCCGCCGGCCGGCCGGCCGGCCGCGGGACAGCACCCCGCGCCUCUCCGCCCACUCCCGCGCCGCCGGCCACGACAGCACCAAGUCCGCCCGCCGCUCGCGGUCCGCGCGGGCCACGGGGCUGCCGAGGCGCCUCCUCCCGGAGCGCCGCAGACAAAGCCCGGCCGCGGCAGCACAUGGAGAGGAGGAAGUGGCGGCGCGGCCGCGGCCUACUCCCUGGCAGCCCCGGCCAACGUGCUCCUCUCCCCCUUGGAAUCCAUUUUCCAGAAAAGCCGGUUUCUCCCCGCGCCGCCCUCCCCCAAGCUCCCUCCACAAUGUCAUGGAGCCCCCCUCCCAGACCCGGGUGCCGGCGGUCGUUACCUCCCCGCGGGGCUGCGGCCGAGGAAUCCUGUCCGACCGGGUCGGGUGGCGGGGAACGCGUGCUCGCUGCUCCCUGUGUCCGGCGCGAGUGGAGCUGUUGUAAAAUGGCGGCCGAAGCUCACGCCGCUGGCAGCAAACCCGAUCCAGUUCCACUCGCCUCCGAGCGCGCUCCCAGUGCGCGCGCGCGCCCCCGCGUGACCCCCCUUCCCUCCCCUCCCUGGCGCGUCCGCUUCUCUCACUCACUCCCUCAGCCCCUGCCCUCCUACAGCUCCUCCUUCUCCCCUGCCGCCGCCGCGCCGCCGCCGCCGCCGGCCGCCGGCCGCCCUGUCCCCUCGGCCUUCCUCCUUUCCCUCCCUGCACCUCCUCCCCCAGCGUCCCCACUCCCGUCCGCGGCCGCUCAGACACGAGUGGCCGCCCUUCUCUCCUCCUCGCUGGCACUCUGGCUCACGCCCUCCCUCGCUAGCUCUCUCGGCCCGUCCCCAGUCCCUGCCGAGUCGCUCUUUCUCUCUCCCGCGCUGACGUGA
rnacentral:lncRNA from 1 species